rnacentral:rRNA from 1 species
UACGUAGGGGACGAGCGUUGUCCGGAAUUACUGGGCGUAAAGGGCGCGCAGGCUGCGUUACAAGUCAGCUGUUAAAUGCAUGGGCUUACCCCAUGAGUGCGGUUGAAACUGUAGUGCUAGAGUACUGUAGAGGCAAGCGGAAUUCCCAGUGUAGCGGUGAAAUGCGUAGAUAUUGGGAGGAACACCGGUGGCGUAGGCGGCUUGCUGGACAGUAACUGACGCUGAGGCGCGAAAGCCAGGGGAGGCAAACGGGGAUUAGAUACCCGGGUA